ACUAGGGAUUUUGGAUACCCUAUUAUUUAUGUGUAAUGUUUUGUGCUUGAGUAGUAAUAGUUAUGUUCUGAAACUUAAAGAAUUGGCGGUAUCUCAUUCUGUCCAGAGGAAUCUGUCUCGUUAUCGAUAGUCCGCGUUGGAUCUUACUUAGAGUUUAGAGUGGUUUGUAUACCGCCGUUUAUUGAUUAUCUUUUUAGGGUUAAUUUUCUGGUUUCUUUAUUUUGAUUUAUUUCAGGUCAAGGUGCAGCUUUUUCUAAGUGUAAUGAUGGAUUACAGUGUUAUUUGUUGUUUGGAUUGUUGGUUUUGAUACUGUAUAUGAAAUUGGAUUUGGUUGUAAUGUUUUGUAGAUUGUUUUCAUGAUAAUUGGUUCUGAGAUAUGUACACAUCGCCCGUCACUCUCG
rnacentral:rRNA from 1 species